rnacentral:rRNA from 1 species
GACGAACGCUGGCGGCGUGCUUAACACAUGCAAGUCGAACGGAAAGGCCCUGCUUUUGUGGGGUGCUCGAGUGGCGAACGGGUGAGUAACACGUGAGUAACCUGCCCUUGACUUUGGGAUAACUUCAGGAAACUGGGGCUAAUACCGGAUAGGAGCUCCUGCUGCAUGGUGGGGGUUGGAAAGUUUCGGCGGUUGGGGAUGGACUCGCGGCUUAUCAGCUUGUUGGUGGGGUAGUGGCUUACCAAGGCUUUGACGGGUAGCCGGCCUGAGAGGGUGACCGGCCACAUUGGGACUGGGGUACGGCCCAGACGCCAUCGGGAGGCAGCGGUGGGGAAUAUUGCAAAAUGGGCGGAAGCCUGAUGCAGCAACGCCGCGUGCGGGAGGACGGCCUUCGGGUUGGAAACCGCUUUCGCCUGUGACGAAGCGUGAGUGACGGUAAUGGGUAAAGAAGCACCGGCUAACUACGG